rnacentral:misc_RNA from 1 species
AACCUCACAAGUAGACAGAGAUGACGUAGUGAACAGAAUUCCGGUUCAGUUAUUCUUCUCUAGAAACAGACAACAAUUCAGUAUGAUCAAAGCAAUUCUGGUGUUCAAUAAUCAUGGAAAACCACGACUUUCAAAAUUCUACCAAUAUUUCAACGAAGACAUGCAGCAGCAAAUUAUCAAGGAGACUUUUCAGUUGGUCUCCAAACGGGACGAUAAUGUUUGUAACUUCUUGGAGGGUGGGAGUCUUAUCGGAGGCUCCGAUUACAAGCUAAUCUAUCGACACUACGCAACGUUAUAUUUUGUGUUCUGUGUCGACAGCUCCGAGUCCGAACUCGGAAUCUUAGAUUUAAUCCAAGUGUUCGUUGAGACACUGGAUAAAUGCUUCGAGAAUGUGUGUGAAUUAGAUUUGAUCUUCCAUGUCGAUAAAGUUCAUUACAUUUUGAAUGAACUCGUAAUGGGUGGCAUGGUUCUAGAAACAAACAUGACUGAAAUACUCACAAGGAUCGAAGACCAGAAUAAACUGGAGAAACAAGAGGCUGGCAUCACGGCAGCACCGGCACGUGCCGUUUCAGCUGUCAAGAACAUGAACAUUCCACAGCAAAUAAAGGAUAUGAAACUGCCAGAUUUACCGCAGGCAAUCAAGGAUCUGAAGUUCUGACCAGCCGUCUCCUCGUUGGCUCCCAGCUGACUGGUCUCGUCUGCUAUCCCCGAAGCAGACACUGCUUCGAGGUCACUAUUCCAACCCCGUCGAGCUAGUGAGAAUGCACCGAUGCUGCCUGGCAUUUCUCCUUUCAUCAUGUCCUCGACUUCAUCCCAUCGCUACCAAGGCUAACCCCUGAAGACUACAAAGGAUCGAUUAUGGUGAACUGGUUCGCUCUGUCAUGGAACCGAUGUGCUAUGCUUUCUACAAAUUAAUCAGAGCUGAGUGAAAUUGUGCUCAAAAGACGGAUCAAUGGAAGGGAAUUCAAUGACGUCCGCAUUCAGUGACAAGCACUCGAGGUUACAUUAUUAUAAUUUAACAUUUCAUUCACUUAUCAUUCAACUCAUCUUUAACCGAACUCUGUCAAUACCUUGUUAGUUUACUAAAAGAUAGAUUUUGUAACCAUGUCCACAUAUAUAUAACUGACAGGAUUUAAACAUUGCGAUUCAAAGGGCGUGAAAGAAGAAUGAUUAUCUGAAAUUUCUUCUGAAUGACAUCGAAGUCAUGUAACAUAAUUUAUUUCGCACUGAGAUAAAAUGGUUCUAGGGAGGUUAUAUUCAGAUAAAAAUAUUCUUACCUUUGAAAUUGUCGUUAAGAAAUCGUGAAGCAUUACCCAAGUGAAUAUUCCGAAUGAUUGUAAAUUGUAUGAUAUAAAAGUUAUACAUAACGAAGAGCACAUUGUGAGCAACAUUCAUAUUAUGUGUCAGUAUAAUUGCUCGAUUAUUUACAUUACUCUAUCAAUCACGUAAAACUAGAUCGACGUAAAUAUUAUGUAUUAUUCUUAAUAAUAUUACAUAUUAUUUAAUCUGUUCCGACACCAUACAUAAUAUUAGACAUUAAGGAGACCUACCAAUGAACGUACCUAUUGAAAACAUUGAACAUGAAUGUUACAUCGUAUGAAAGAUGUAUUUAAUAAAUAUUAUAUUGUUAAAUAA